rnacentral:rRNA from 1 species
AUUGAACGCUGGCGGCAGGCUUAACACAUGCAAGUCGAGCGGAGCGAGGGUGCUUGCACCUUAGCUUAGCGGCGGACGGGUGAGUAAUGCUUAGGAAUCUGCCUAUUAGUGGGGGACAACAUUCCGAAAGGGAUGCUAAUACCGCAUACGCCCUACGGGGGAAAGCAGGGGAUCUUCGGACCUUGCGCUAAUAGAUGAGCCUAAGUCGGAUUAGCUAGUUGGUGGGGUGAAGGCCUACCAAGGCGACGAUCUGUAGCGGGUCUGAGAGGAUGAUCCGCCACACUGGGACUGAGACACGGCCCAGACUCCUACGGGAGGCAGCAGUGGGGAAUAUUGG